CAGAGCCCAUAAAAGCUAAAGUGCAAGGUCAGUUGCCCACUUGGUUGCAAGGGAUACUUCUCCAAAAUGGCCCAGGGAUGCACACAAUAGGGGACACUAAAUAUAACCACUGGUUUGAUGGCAUGGCUCUGCUUCAUAGCUUUACAUUUAAAAAUGGUGAAGUUUACUACAGAAG